AGAAUCAACGCUGGCGGCGUGCCUAACACAUGCAAGUCGCACGAGAAAGGGACUUCGGUCCUGAGUAAAGUGGCGCACGGGUGAGUAACACGUGAAUAAUCUACCUCCGAGUGGGGAAUAACUGAGAGAAAUCUUAGCUAAUACCGCAUAACACUUACGAGUCAAAGCAGCAAUGCGCUUGGAGAGGAGUUCGCGGCAGAUUAGUUAGUUGGCGGGGUAAUGGCCCACCAAGACGAUGAUCUGUAU
rnacentral:rRNA from 1 species